rnacentral:rRNA from 1 species
AGAGCUUGCUCUCGGGUGACGAGUGGCGGACGGGUGAGUAAUGUCUGGGAAACUGCCUGAUGGAGGGGGAUAACUACUGGAAACGGUAGCUAAUACCGCAUAACGUCGCAAGACCAAAGAGGGGGACCUUCGGGCCUCUUGCCAUCAGAUGUGCCCAGAUGGGAUUAGCUAGUAGGUGGGGUAACGGCUCACCUAGGCGACGAUCCCUAGCUGGUCUGAGAGGAUGACCAGCCACACUGGAACUGAGACACGGUCCAGACUCCUACGGGAGGCAGCAGUGGGGAAUAUUGCACAAUGGGCGCAAGCCUGAUGCAGCCAUGCCGCGUGUAUGAAGAAGGCCUUCGGGUUGUAAAGUACUUUCAGCGGGGAGGAAGGUGUUGUGGUUAAUAACCACAGCAAUUGACGUUACCCGCAGAAGAAGCACCGGCUAACUCCGUGCCAGCAGCCGCGGUAAUACGGAGGGUGCAAGCGUUAAUCGGAAUUACUGGGCGUAAAGCGCACGCAGGCGGUCUGUCAAGUCGGAUGUGAAAUCCCCGGGCUCAACCUGGGAACUGCAUUCGAAACUGGCAGGCUAGAGUCUUGUAGAGGGGGGUAGAAUUCCAGGUGUAGCGGUGAAAUGCGUAGAGAUCUGGAGGAAUACCGGUGGCGAAGGCGGCCCCCUGGACAAAGACUGACGCUCAGGUGCGAAAGCGUGGGGAGCAAACAGGAUUAGAUACCCUGGUAGUCCACGCCGUAAACGAUGUCGACUUGGAGGUUGUGCCCUUGAGGCGUGGCUUCCGGAGCUAACGCGUUAAGUCGACCGCCUGGGGAGUACGGCCGCAAGGUUAAAACUCAAAUGAAUUGACGGGGGCCCGCACAAGCGGUGGAGCAUGUGGUUUAAUUCGAUGCAACGCGAAGAACCUUACCUACUCUUGACAUCCAGAGAACUUUCCAGAGAUGGAUUGGUGCCUUCGGGAACUCUGAGACAGGUGCUGCAUGGCUGUCGUCAGCUCGUGUUGUGAAAUGUUGGGUUAAGUCCCGCAACGAGCGCAACCCUUAUCCUUUGUUGCCAGCGGUCCGGCCGGGAACUCAAAG